UAUAUAUACACUAUGUCUCCAAGUGUAUUUUAAUAUGUUAUUGUAUAUGUGUGUGUGUGUGUAUAUAUAUAUAUACACACACACACACACAUAUACAAUAACAUAUUAAAAUACACUUGGAGACAUAGUGUAUAUAUA